UAGGGAAUCUUCCGCAAUGGACGACAGUCUGACGGAGCAACGCCGCGUGAGUGAAGAAGGAUUUCGGUUCGUAAAACUCUGUUGUUAGGGAAGAAAAAAUGUAUAGUAACUAUAUACAAAAGAGACGGUACCUAACCAGAAAGCCACGGCUAACUACGUGCCAGCAGCCGCGGUAAUACGUAGGUGGCAAGCGUUGUCCGGAAUUAUUGGGCGUAAAGCGCGCGCAGGUGGUUUAGAAAGUCUGAUGUGAAAGCCCACGGCUCAACCGUGGAGGGUCAUUGGAAACUAAUAAACUUGAGUGCAGGAGAGAAAAGUGGAAUUCCUAGUGUAGCGGUGAAAUGCGUAGAGAUUAGGAGGAACACCGGUGGCGAAAGCGGCUUUUUGGCCUGCAACUGACACUGAGGCGCGAAAGCGUGGGGAGCAAACAGGA
rnacentral:rRNA from 1 species